CAAACGAUGUUGAAGAAGAGUAAGUACGUAUCAGGCCAUGAGGUCCAGAGAGUCGGUGGCCGCUGUGAACCGAUCCUUACCUGAUACGGAAUGGGCUUCUGAAUCGCAACGCAGAAACGAAACAGUAUGUGUUGCCGGGAUUCUCUCUCCGUUACCAAGAGAGGAGUAUCGAUCAGGGGUUAGUUCUCCAAUCCGUACUUAUGAGUGAAUCGCUUCUUGCGAUUAAUAAAGGUGGUACCACGAUAACCUCGUCCUUUGC
rnacentral:ncRNA from 1 species